AUUUAGCCCCGAUGGAAGCAAGCUACCAUGUAGCGCGUACAGCGGGAAUAGGC
rnacentral:sRNA from 1 species